AUCUAUAUCAACAAUUACCUGCAGAUAAUGUUUCCAUAGUAACAAUCAGAAUCCAGUAUAAGUGUACUUAAUGAAAGUUAAGACUGUAACAACUGUGCUCUAGUGAUAAUUCUAAUAUAUAGUACUGUGCACACACAUGCACACAGAAAUAUGUUUCCCCUUUCCAGCCACACACAGAGACAUGGUGCAUUGUUUCCCUCUGCCCAGACGAGGAAGUGACCUAUGAUCUGUGACACUCUAGUUCCUCUUUGAGUCCUGUUUAAACACACAGCUAUCAAUGCACCAGCUGGUUCACACUCACCACCGCGCACCGACAGAGACCCACACUCAGGAUUAUUUUCCUGCUGUGGCAGACUGUCUGAAAUGAAGAUCCUACAUCUGUAUCUCACCUCGUCGAUGGCGGACUCCUCAAUAAGACGGGGGGCAUCGGCAGACAGCAGCCCAUGUGUAGCCAUGAUGUAGAUCUUAUAAGCUCCUCUCUCCUUCAGAAUCUCAGCUGCCGCCACAAAGUCCUCCACGUCGUCGAUGAUGUCAUCCUGGGAAAGAACGGCAACCACGGGAUUGGAAAUGAUGUACGCCUGUAGUUCCUUCAUCCAUAAUCUAAGGCUGUCAUAUUCUGUUAUUAAAUACAAUGUGGCAAAAUGUUGCAAAUUCA